rnacentral:tRNA from 1 species
UCCCUGGUGGUCCAGCGGCUAAAACUCUGCGCUUCUGAUGCAGGGGGCCCGUGUUCAAUCCCUGGUCAGGGAA